CAUGAGAGGUGCUUACCUGUGUCUGUCCAAGGAGUGUUUUCAGGAAAGCACCAAGCCUAAGGAACUCUGAACUCUUCCCGAGUGAAAGCAGGAUCUAGAGUCAACAUCUUCCACAGAAGCCAUCCCAGCUCAGCUUAAAUUAUAAACAUAAAUUUGUUCAAAUCUGCGUGGUGCUUCUUUACUAAAUACUGAACAGAUUUUACCAUGAAUUUUUUUUUAACCUUUUCUUAAUUGCCCUUAUUCCAAAAGGAUGAACACUUUCUACAACUGCUGACCAUUGUAAAAUACCGUGUAUAUAAAUCACAUUGAAAAUAAUGCCCUGGAAUAGAACAUCUCAAAUGCUGCUUAAUUACAGACUCAGGUUGAUUACUUGUAUCUCAUGUAAUGUUCCUCCAAGUUAGACGUCUGGUGCAAGGCCAACCGGGAAACCAUGGAAUUAUUAAAAGUACAAACUGACAGUGCGUGUAUUUAAUUUAAAGGCUUAUUUAAAAAUGUACAAGCUCUCAACUAGACUUCUGAGGGCAGUCUGUUUUCUGUAUUGUCUGAUACUAGAAACUAAUUUGCUUCAUAUUUUAGUUGUAUUCAAGAUUUGAAAAUGUAUUUUAUAGACAAGUUCUGUUUUUGAACUUUGUGGAACUAUUCCAAUCAACCUACCAGUUAUGAUGAGUAUUCACAUUAUGAAUGUAUAAUCCAAACAUUAUUUGUAAAGCUUACAGUAUGUUUUUAUUAUAUAACUUUUUUAUACUGUGUCUCGUCAACUGUAUGAUUAUUGGAGUCUGAGUUGUCAGCUUGGUCCCUUAAAGUUUCUAGUUACAGACAAAAUCAUACUGUGAUUUUAUUUUUAAUAUGGAUAUGCUAUCAAACUGUGAUACUUAUAAUUCACUGGUCCUGCAUCAGGAGAUGGAGUGGGGAAAACUGUAUUUCUAUCUGAAUAAUCUGUAUGGUUUAUACAGUUUGUGUUGUUCAGAGAUGUCUAAAGUUUGAUCUUUGUUUUUUUAAAGAUUAAAAAAGCACUUGCCCCACUGUAAAUAUACAGCAUGUAAAAUUUAUAUAGACUAUAAAUGGCAGCAAAUUAAACAUUUUGUGUCAUUUUUUUACUUCUGUUUUCCCCAUUUGCUUCCCGCCAUGUCUUCUCUGUCUUUAUGUUCACUUUUCUUAAAACCCAGUAAAGCUCUGGCUACCAUCUCAGCAGGUGCCUCAAACCCUGGAGAUGGGCCAGGGAAAACCAGGUGCUGGUUUGCUGGAACCAACACAUCUCUAUUUAAAGAAGCAAGUCUUAGACAACCUUGUUUUAACAAUGUAUGUGAUUUUUAUUUAGUGAAGACAAUAUUCACAAGUUUUAACAGCCAUACACCCUUCAGUUUUACUGUUUACUUUUGAUAAAUAGAAUAUUCAUGCAAGUUACAGGAUGUAUAUACAUUGAAUAACAAAACACUCCAGAAAGCAAUAUAUGUACACUAUUUACAUAUGAACUAUAGGUAAAUAGAAAUGUUUUCUAAGGAAAAAAUAAGAUGAGAAAUCACAAUUUGGGGUUUCUGGUCUGUAAUAGACCUAACUUUGCAGCAAAGCACAUCUGUAGAUAAUAUGCCCUUGUAAGUUUGAAAACAGGCAUUGCUUUAUAUGAAGCAUUAAAUGCUGCUUCAUCUAUUAACAGCUCUUGCUUUGAUUCCAUUUGGUGCCACAUUAAACUACUUGAAAGUGUUUCAGGACCCUCUAGGUAACGGUGGCU
rnacentral:lncRNA from 1 species